rnacentral:lncRNA from 1 species
UUCGAUUUAAGAUUUAAGUAUUAAAAUUUUUUAUUAAAAAUUGCAUUUGAGAAAUAAAAUAUUUAUUUUAAACAUGAUAUUAUAAAAUAAAAAAACAUUUAAAUGAUGUUUAGAUUCAUUAAUAUUAUGAUAUUUCAAUAAAAAUAUUUAAAAAAAUAAUUUAUUGUAACUCAUUAUUAAUAUUUUGAUAUAUAAAAUAUAAAAAAACACAUAGUACUAAUUUGGGAAAAGUCUCCAAGAGUGCUUUGCCGAGAGUCCUAGUGAAGGUAGUAACUUCUGCGACUUGGGAUGGGGGAAAGUGGUGGAGACGAUAAAGAGCAAAGGGACGAGAUUUCCCUCUUAACUGAAGAACUCAUCCAAUUAUCUGUCAAAGGAUUGAAGGUAGUUCCGAAUGAGAAACCAACCCUGAUUUGUACAAUAUGGACUAAGAAGUUUUAUAAUCCGGAAAGUUUUAGGACACAGAUUAAGAGUUUGUGGAAAACAAAAAAGAAGUUUGAGAUUCAAAUAGCAAGACAAAACCUAUUUUUGAUAGCGUUCGAGAUGGAAGAGGAUUUGGAGUUGAUCAUGGAAGGAAGACCAUGGCUAUUUCGGAAGAGUCUAAUACUAUUUGACAGGAUUACUCAAUUGGUGGAAAGAUCACAGAUUCAGCUCAAUUCCUCACCGGUCUGGCUAAAGGUAGGUCCACGUUUACCAAAAUUUGACAAAAAAGAUUUAUUACAUGCCAUAGGUGUCACUUUUGGAGGGAUAAUCAGAUCUAAAAUCAACGGAGAAUGGUGUCACCUAAAAAUCAAUCUCGAUGUGCAGAAACCCCUUCGAAAAGGUAUUUUUGUCUCAGUGGAUAAUAGGAAUAAAUGGUAGAUUUCUUUUAAAUAUGAGAAAUUACCAACUUUUUACUUCGGAUGUGGGAAGAUGGGGCAUGGACUCUCAGGUUGUAAUUCACUGAAUUCUGCAGAAAAAAUAAAAAUUAAAGAAGAUCCCCCAUACACGAUGGCACUAAGAGCAGAAUCAAACUUAGUUGGAAAAUAAAAUAUUAAAUUAAAUGUUUUUUCAAAGAAGGAUAGGGUUCAAUGUUUUUAUACAGGUGGUUCUGAGCUAGAAUUGAUUGAAGAUGAAAUAGCCAGAGAAGCAAAUAAUUGGGUGGGGAUGACGCACGGGGAACUACAAGUGAACGACAAAAAGAAGGAGAUGAAGAAGCAGGAGAAAGAAGAUACAAUUAUGAUUGAUGAACGGGUGGUUGAUAAUAGGUGAAGUCAGGAUAUUAAUUUAAAUUCAGUUAAGAAGACAAGUUGGCGAAGAGUUAAUCUAGUUCAAAUGUUGGCAAAGCAAAAGGAUGAAAAUUGUAACAAGAAGAGGAAAGCUACUAAAGGAAUACUAGAGACUUGUUAUAUAGAAGUUGAAUAUGGAGACAGAACCAAAAGGCUGAAAAAAGACAGAGAAAAGGAACAAGGAGAAACGUUAUUAGAAAAAGAUGGGAAACCCUAUGCAACAGAGUAAUGCUAAACAACUUAUGGGAUCAACAGCUGCCAAGAGGCAAGCCGACCGAACGUAAUGAAAAUCAUUACUUAGAAUGUUCGUGGAUUGGGGAGUCCACGAACAGUUAGAAGGCUGCGUUACUUUCUAAAGCAGCAAAAUCCCCAAAUGGUCUUCUUAAUGGAGACAAAAAUAAAUAAGCAAUGUAUGGAAAAAGUUAGAAGAAGCUGUGGUUUUCAGAAUGGAAUUGACGUUGAUGCAGAAGGUUCCCGAGAUGGCUUAUGCUUAGCAUGGAAAGAAGAUAUAACGGUUACUUUAAUGAGUUUUUCCAAGAAUCAUAUUGAUGCAAUGAUUAUGGAAGAAACUGGUAACGAAGAAUGGAGAUUUACAGGAUUUUAUGGCUCCCCGUAUGUCAAUUUCAAGAAUGAUUCCUAGAAUUUGCUACGAAAAUUGGGACAAGAUCAGAGACACCCAUUGCUUGUUAGUGGAGAUUUUAAUGAAAUUAUGUAUUCCUUCCAGAAAAAAGGAGGAUUACCAAGAGAUGAAAGACGGAUGGAGGUUUUUAGAGAAACCCUUGAAGAAUGCCAAUUAGAAGAUUUAGGGUUUGCAGGGGCUUGGUUCACAUAGGAAAGGGGAAAUCUGCCAGAAACAAAUGUCAAAGAAAGAUUGGAUAGAUGAGUGGCUAAUGACAAGUGGAGGAAUCUCUUUCCAACGGGUAACAUUCAUCACCUACCUCAUUCAAUGUCUGAUCAUUGUCCACUGCUUUUUAAUACAAAAAUUGAAAAUCGCAAUGUGAGAAGCCCAAGUUUUAAAUUUGAGGCAUGGUGGACCAUGGAAGAGUCUCUUGAAGGAGAAAUUAAAGCAUCUUGGGAAUCAUCCGUAGAUAAUUUACUGGAGAAACUGGAAAAACUACAAUCAAAUUUAAAAAAAUGGGCAAGAGUAAUCAAAAAAGGGCGAGAAGGGUUGAAGAAAAGGCUCACAAAGAAAUUGGAGAUACUGAUGGAGGAAGAAAGAAAUGAUGACAUAAUGGCAAAAAUUAUUGAUACGAAGGUGCACCUAAACUUAGAAAUUGAUAAAGACGAAAGGUAUUGAGAACAAAGGGCAAGGGCAAAUUGGCUCAUAGUAGGGGACAAGAACACAACUUUUUUUUCAUAAGCAAGCCACAUCUCGUCGAAAAAAACCACAAUUUCAGGACUGGAAUUAGACAGAGGAGGGGAGGUGACAGAAGAAUGUAAGAUCAUGACUACACUAUUCUUUUAGGAGUUAUUUUCAUCAAAAGGAGUAGGUGAGUUAUCUCACCUCUUAACAAGUAUUGAAGGAAAAAUUACGCCAGAUAUGAAUGAAGACUUAAUGGAAAAAUUUACGGAAGAAGAAGUGUAUUUUGCCUUGAAAGGAAUGGGGCCAACUAAAGCACCAGGACCUGAUGGAUUUCCAACACUCUUCUUUCAACAAUAUUGGCAUAUAAUAGGUAAAGAAGUUAUCACUUUCUGUCUGAAAAUUUUAAACAGUGACAAAAAUUUGGGCCCUUUCAAUUCUACUGAUAUUGUAUUGAUCCCAAAAACUCAUAAUCCCAAGAAUAUAGCAAAAUUCAGACCUAUUAGCUUAUGUACUAUUAUUUAUAAAAUUGUGGCUUAAUAAUAGUUAAUAGACUUCAAGGGGUUAUUGGGCGAUGUAUUGAUUUGGCGCAGAGUGCUUUCAUCCCAAGAAAGCUAAUUUCUGAUAACAUCCUGCUUGCAUACGAGAUCUUACACACCCUUAAACGAAAACGUACAGGUAAGAAAGGUUUUAUGACAGUUAAGCUUGAUAUGAGCAAAGCCUAUGAUAAGAUUGAGUGGAGAUUUCUUAAGGAAGUCAUGCUGCGAAUGGGUUUUGCAAAAGAAUGGGUCAAUUUAAUUAUGAAAUGUAUUACUAUAGCAUCUUUUGCAGUCAAUAUUAAUGGAAAAAGGGGACGAAUCUUUCAAUCUUCUAGACGGCUACGAUAAGGUAACCCCCUUAGUCCAUUCUUAUUUCUACUAUGUAGCGAAAGGAUUUCAGCAUUAAUGAGAUUGGCAUUGAAAGACGGCUGGAUAAAAGGAGUUAAGGCAAGCAGGAAAGGACCAGGGAUUUCACAUCUACUAUUUGCAGAUGAUUGUAUUCUGUUCGGAGAAGCAACUAAUAAAGGAGUGAGGGUGCUAAAAGAGAUUCUUAAGGAAUAUGAAGACUGUUCGGGUUAAUGUGUUAAUUUCAAAAAAUCUACGAUUUUCUUCAAUACGAAUACAUCAGUCGAUGACAGAGGUGAAGUAUCAGGAAGUUUAGGUAUAAGAGGGUCAACAGACAUGGAGAAGUAUUUAGGCCUUCCUAAUGUGGUUGGAAGACGAAAAAAGGAGGUGUUCCAAUAUCUAAAAGGUAAAGUUGAUUCUAGAAUUAAAGGUUUGAGCACCAGAUUGUUAUCACAAAGAGGCAAGGAAGUUUUCAUUAAAUCCAUAUUUCAGGCAAUUCUGACUUAUGCUAUGUCAUGUUUUUUUCUCCCUAACCCCCUAAGUGACGAAUUGGAAAAGACCUUCGCUACUUUCUAGUGGAAAAAGAAGUAAGGAAAAAGAGGAAUUCACUGGUGUAAGUGGCAGAAUAUGUGUCGAGCUAAAGAAGGAGGUAUAGGCUUCAGGAGCAUGGCAAAGUUUAAUAUCUCCUUAUUAGCUAAACAAGGCUAGAGAAUCCUAAAUAAUCCAAAUUCGUUAAUUGCAAGGUUGUUAAAGGCUAAAUAUUUUCCAGAAACGGAUUUCCUAAAUUCGUAUCUUGGGAACAACAGUUCUUUUGCGUGGAAGAGUAUAUGGGCAACUAGAGGUAUUCUGUCAGACAGAAACUGUUGGAAAAUGGGGAGGGGUAUUGAAAUCUCGAUCAUUAAUGAUAGUUGGAUACCAGAUUAUUCCAGAUUAUCAUCUUACUUUACCAAUUAUUCCAAAUUAUCGCCUCACUUUACCAAUUUUUAUGAAUAUAAAGUUGCAGAUUUAAUUGAUGACAGAAACAAAAAAUGGAAAAAAGAAUUGACCGAAGCUACCUUCCCUGCGGAGAUAUCUGAGAAAAUCUUCUGCAUCCUGUUAGCUAAAGAGCCCCACGAUGAUUUUCUGGUCUGGAGGGGAGAGUCUUCAAGAGAAUUCACAGUACGAAGUGCCUAUAAACUAUUACAGAGCUUUGAAAAUGAUCCUAGAGCUUAUGCUUUACAAAAUGAAUCUAGGAAUUUUUAUUGGAAUCUAUGGCUCCUAAAUCUACCUCCUAAGUUAAAAAUUAUAGUCUGGAAAAUAUCAUGGAACUAUAGUCCAACUCGGGUCAACUUGAACUACAGAAGGCUUUCAAACAACGUGACGUGCGUUGGGUGUGGCAGAGCAGCAGAAUCCACAAAUCAUAUAUUUCGCGAAUGUCCUAUGGCAAGAACAGUAUGGGAAGAGUUAUUAUUCUUAGAGGUAUUACAAGCUCCUUAUAUGGAUUUUCUACAGUGGCUCACCUGGGUUUUUGAAAAGAACUCCCCCAAUCAACGACAGAUUUUUUGCUAUGCUCUUUGGGCAAUAUGGGGAGAAAGGAAUAAGAGAGUGCAUGAAAAGGCUAAUAGAUCUGGGAAAGAGAUAGCAUUUUUUUAUAAAGAGAUAUAUUAGUGAACUGAAUGAGAUUGAAGCAAAAGUACCACAGGUUAAAAUAGGAAGCAGAGAGUGGAAACACCCACCGGAUCAGUUUGUAAAGGUCAACUUUGAUGUAGCCUAUGAUGGGAACCUACGGCAAUUGGCAGCGGGAAUUGUGGCCAGGGAUAGCGAAGGAAAUACUCUUUUAUCAUGUACAGUGAUUCAUCAUCAAGUCGCAUCAGCUUUCGCUGUAGAAGCAAUAGCUUGCCGGAUAGCAACUCAAAUAGGCAGGGACAUGCAAUAGCCAAACAUUAUUAUUGAAGGGGAUGCAUUAUCAAUUAUAAAGAAGUGCAAACUAAAAAGUUAUGAUAAAUCUAUGAUCGGAGCAUAUAUCCAAGAUAUACAUCAGCUACUGGAAAAAUCUGGAAAAUGCUAUUUUGAGAACAUUCCCAGAGAAGCGAACAGCUUGGCACAUAAACUAGCGACGGAGACAUUAAAGAAAAAAGAAGAGUCUUACCUGAUUGGAAGAGUCCCGGGGUAUGCUGAGAACCUGGAAGAAACUGAAAAAAGGGCAGGAACAAAUGUGGAGAAGAAAUGAAAGGUUAUAGAAAAAAGCAGCUGUAUAGUGGAAAUUCAAAGGCGUGGUGGACAAGGCUUCAUUGAAAUCUGGAAACGUCUCAUUGAUGAAAUGAAAGAUGAUUUUGAAAGAGGGAAAUGGAUUUUUCUGAUUGGGCAAGAUAUGAUGGCAUUUAUUAGGUUCUAAAGGAUUCUGAUUUUUAUGUUUUUUAGGGCUGUUUUCUAGUUUCUUUUAAAGAUUUGGACUAUAGGUUUUUGCUUUGUUCUUCGGGCCAAAACUUGCAUCUGGUUUUAGCCUGAGUCUUUUGUGUUUUUCAUUUUUAAGUUAAUAAAAGCCCAAUCUGAAUUAGUUUCAAAAACA